GGCGUCCACCUGGCGGCGGCGUCCUGGAGGGCCCGGCGGCGGCGGCAGCGGCGUCCUGGAGUGCCCGGCGGGGCGAGGGCCCGGCGGCGGUGGCGGCGGCGGCGGCUCCUCAUCCGGUUAAGCUAAACUCUUCUCCAGUGCAUCAUGAACGGGGAGGAAUGUCCGGGGUGCAAAUAGAACGCGUGUCUCAUUUCAGAAGAAAUGAGGCGACGUUGCGGUGGCCCAGGCGGUCGGCCCGGUGGAGGUCCUGGAGGACGGCUGGGGGAUCCGGCAGUGGAGGUCCGGAGGUGGCUCGUGAUUAGACCAACCAGCUCCUCAUCCAUGGAAGGAUUGAAGGAGUCACUUGGGAUGAAGAUCACUGCUCAGGGGCUGACGACCACUCAUCUUUCCGGAGAAGCGUCCUCAUGGUGCAGGCGGUCAAACCUCCACCUCUUUGAAGAGACCAAACAGCUUGAUGACUGACUGGUUCGUUAUACUCAAGACCUCGUCCCGGAGCAGAGGACGGACCUAAGGCCCGCAGCGCAGCCGACUUGAGACUCCAUGUGGAACCGAGAAUAAGAUCUGACUUCAGCCAAUCAGCGGGAUGUCCUUGAACAAGAGCCAAUGGCUGAAGGUUCAAUUAAGUCUACCUCUCCUUCAGGCGACUUAAAGGGAGACCAGAUGUGCGGCAGCUGGCUGUCACGGUGCAGAGACCCAACGCUGUACUGAACUACACCAGUGUGUCCUACUCCCAUAAACCCUGAGGAUCCCUGGAUGGCUACACCAGCACGUUAAUCCACACCCAACAUCAUCACACAGUGCACACUCUAUAGAGCUCGUAAGUCCGCCACUUGCGAUCGUAAGUUAUGACUGGGUUUCAAUGGAGAGAAAGUAAUUAUUUUCUCCAUUUUAUGUUUCACCACAUUUUGGGGGAAUGUUUGAAUCAAUCUUUUUCAUUUAUUUCUGUGCUCCAUAUCUGUAAUCCCAGCUGUUGUAUUUUAACACGGUAGCUGGGAACCCUCUUUAUAGGGAGCGACUAGAGGGACGAGGCUGGAAGCAAACCUGAGCCUGGAUCUUAACCUUCUUUCUAAACCUAAUGCCGCAAUUUAACCGCAAAUAAAGUGAGGCCUAAAGUAACUUGACUCUCUUACCUAAACUUGCUUGCCUAAACUCGCUUGUCUAAACUCGCCUGCAUAAAACCUAAACUCGUUUGCAUAAAACCUGAACUUGCUUGGCUAAACUCGCGUCGCUUGCCUAAUACCUGAACUUGCUUGCCUAAACUCGCUUGCCUAAUACCUAAACUCGCUUGCCUAAACUCGCUUGCCUAAACUCGCUUGCCUAAACUCGCUUGCCUAAACUCGCUUGCCUAAACUCGCUUGCCUAAACUCGCUUGCCUAAACUCGCUUGCCUAGACUCUCUUGCCUAGACUCGCUUGCCUAGACUCGCUUGCCUAAUACCUGUACUCGCUUGCAUAAAACCUGUACUCGCUUGCAUAAAACCUAAACUCGCUUAGCUUGACUCUCUUGCCUGUACUCGCUUGCCUAAUACCUGAAGUCGCAUGCCUAAUACCUGAAGUCGCUUGCCUAAAACCUAAACUUGCUUUUCCAAACACGUUACACAAAGUUAACCAUCCAUAAUCUUUAACCCAAACCAGACUUGUCCCUGGGUCGCUCCACUUUAAUUUAGAAGUUUCUUCUUUUACCUCAUCUGCGUUUUGAGUUGCAUUCUUUGAGGGCUUGAAGUGCUUUGGAGGAUAUUUGAACCUUUGUUUGCCGCAUCAAUAAACAUGCUUUAUCUUUACACAUUGUUUUGGUUUGCAUUUCUAUGUGUAAUCCGACCAAAUGUUCAGUGUCCUUACAUGUAAUGUCUAUGGUCUGACGAUAAUCUGACAUCUUCAUGAAGCAGAAUGUGUGAAUGUUGUCCUGUGAGCUCCAGGCUCUCUGUGGGCGUCAACGUCUCUUUAGCAAAAGGUUGGAGAGUGAAAUUCAUUUUUUUGCCAUUUUCAUGUGUUCCUGAGUAUUUCAGACCUGUGGUGUUUCACAUGAGACCUUAAUGGGAACUUUUCUUUUUCUUCCUGCAUACUAAUGCCUACAUUAGUAGGGUGAUCACUGUUGAUCCCAAUAUUGAUCAUUAACCACCUCAUUCUUUGGGAUUACAAAUCAUGUAAUUUAUGAGCAUAUUUGCAAAUGCCUCCAAAUAUCAGAUUGUGUAAAAACGAAUGAAAUGUAACCUGCUUGAUUUAAAGAAAAUAAAACAUCCAAAUAUUA